GGUCUCACGCAAUGAGGUCUCACGAACCACGUCAGGGCCGGAAGGCAGCAGCGUUAAGUGAAUCGCCGCAUGUGCCGUGAGGGUGCCUG
rnacentral:SRP_RNA from 1 species